GCUUAGACUGGAAAAGCCGAGAUGAUGUCAAAGAUCUUCUCAAGGUCUAGGUAAUUUUUGUUUCUCAUUUGCUGGAGCCCCAGUAUUUCUAAAGAUAUACAGAUUUGCAUUGUCUAAUUUUUAAAAAAUGGCUUUGUUCUCAAUGUUAACCAGGAAGAAAUUUCUGACAGUGUUGGAAGCCUGGAACUUACUGGAUCAAUGAGAAGGGACUUCUGGCUUCUCAGUCAGACAAGGAUCAGUAGAAACUGAGCCAUGGAAGCCCACCAAAACCACAAAACAUUAACACUGCUGCUCUGCUUCCAUCCCUGCUACAGAAGCCAUUUGAAGCAUUUUUUUUUUAUACAGCUCUCAACUUGUGUUCUCUGAGGAUCUCAGCACACUAAAGGAAGAAGAAAGUAGUGUGAACACCAAACCGAGAAAUUGCCAGCGUCUGAACAAG
rnacentral:lncRNA from 1 species